rnacentral:rRNA from 1 species
GAUGAACGCUGGCGGCGUGCCUAAUACAUGCAAGUCGAACGAGGUGCUUUUGUAGCAAUACGAGAGUAUCCUAGUGGCGAACGGGUGAGUAACGCGUUGGUGACCUACCCCAAAGUGUGGGAUAACAGUCCGAAAGGAUUGCUAAUACCGCAUGUGGUCAUUGGAUUUAGAAACUGAUGACUAAAGGAGCAAUUCGCUUUGGGAGGGACCUGCGUCCCAUCAGCUAGUUGGUGAGGUAAUGGCUUACCAAGGCGACGACGGGUAGGGGACCUGAGAGGGUGGCCCCCCACAAUGGAACUGAAACACGGUCCAUACACCUACGGGUGGCAGCAGUAGGGAAUAUUGCUCAAUGGGCGAAAGCCUGAAGCAGCAACGCCGCGUGUGUGAUGAAGGCCUUCAGGUCGUAAAGCACUUUUCUGGGAGAUGAGAAAGGACAGUAUCCCAGGAAUAAGUCUCGGCUAACUACGUGCCAGCCGCCGCAGUAAAAC